rnacentral:rRNA from 1 species
UACGUAGGGGGCAAGCGUUGUCCGGAAUCAUUGGGCGUAAAGAGCGCGUAGGCGGCCCUGUAAGUCCGCUGUGAAAGUCAAGGGCUCAACCCUUGAAUGCCGGUGGAUACUGCAGGGCUAGAGUCCGGAAGAGGCGAGUGGAAUUCCUGGUGUAGCGGUGGAAUGCGCAGAUAUCAGGAGGAACACCAAUAGCGAAGGCAGCUCGCUGGGACGGCACUGACGCUAAGGCGCGAAAGCGUGGGGAGCGAACAGG